GCAUGAUGCAGUGUGAAAAACUCCGGUGGUAUAAGAUGGACCCGCGUUGGAUUAGCUAGUUGGUGAGGUAACGGCCCACCAAGGCGACGAUCCAUAGCCGACCUGAGAGGGUGACCGGCCACAUUGGGACUGAGACACGGCCCAAACUCCUACGGGAGGCAGCAGUGGGGAAUAUUGCACAAUGGGCGAAAGCCUGAUGCAGCGACGCCGCGUGAGCGAAGAAGUAUUUCGGUAUGUAAAGCUCUAUCAGCAGGGAAGAUAAUGACGGUACCUGACUAAGAAGCACCGGCUAAAUACGUGCCAGCAGCCGCGGUAAUACGUAUGGUGCAAGCGUUAUCCGGAUUUACUGGGUGUAAAGGGAGCGCAGGCGGUGCGGCAAGUCUGAUGUGAAAGCCCGGGGCUCAACCCCGGUACUGCAUUGGAAACUGUCGUACUAGAGUGUCGGAGGGGUAAGCGGAAUUCCUAGUGUAGCGGUGAAAUGCGUAGAUAUUAGGAGGAACACCAGUGGCGAAGGCGGCUUACUGGACGAUAACUGACGCUGAGGCUCGAAAGCGUGGGGAGCAAACAGGAUUAGAUA
rnacentral:rRNA from 1 species